CCUACGGGAGGCAGCAGUGGGGAAUAUUGGACAAUGGGCGCAAGCCUGAUCCAGCCAUGCCGCGUGGAUGAUGAAGGCCCUAGGGUUGUAAAGUCCUUUCGACGGGGAAGAUAAUGACGGUACCCGUAGAAGAAGCCCCGGCUAACUUCGUGCCAGCAGCCGCGGUAAU
rnacentral:rRNA from 1 species